UACAGAGGGUGCGAGCGUUAAUCGGAAUUACUGGGCGUAAAGCGCGCGUAGGCGGUUUUGUAAGUCGGGUGUGAAAUCCCUCGGCUUAACCGGGGAACUGCGUCUGAUACUGGAUGGCUUGAGAUUGGGAGAGGGAUGCGGAAUUCCAGGUGUAGCGGUGAAAUGCGUAGAUAUCUGGAGGAACACCGGUGGCGAAGGCGGCAUCCUGGACCAACACUGACACUGAGGAGCGAAAGCCAGGGGAGCAAACGGG
rnacentral:rRNA from 1 species